rnacentral:rRNA from 1 species
GACAGAGGGUGCAAACGUUGUUCGGAAUUACUGGGCGUAAAGCGCGUGUAGGCGGCUAUGCAAGUCGGAUGUGAAAGCCCCCGGCUCAACCGGGGAAGGUGGGUGCGAACUGGUCUUCUUGAGGGCGAUAGAGGGGGGCGGAAUUCCUGGUGUAGCGGUGAAAUGCGUAGAGAUCAGGAGGAACACCCGUGGCGAAGGCGGCCCCCUGGGUCGGCCCUGACGCUGAGGCGCGAAAGCGUGGGGAGCGAACGGG